UGAUGUUGUCUCCUGGGGGAAGGGAUCAGCCAAUGAGGAGACCAAGGUGUCUCUUCGAUCGAAGAGAUUAUCCCCGUCUUCUCAACUGCUAAGAGAUUAUCCUCGUCUUCUCAACUGCUGCCUGAUCUGAGCCCUCUCAAACGCAAGCAAAGGAGUCCUCGGGGAACGGCGAGUGUACCAGCUCAAUCGCCUCCUCGAGCAACCGCCGCUCUCGAUGUCUCGGUCGAAAAGGGGACGUCUGGCGUGUCCUCACAAUCGCCAACUCGAAGGACCGUCAUGCCUGAUGAAUCGACUAGAGAUGCUACUGACGACUUGACAUUGCCUGGUCCAUAUGUAACUCCUCCACCGGCUUCGCCUACCGGACCAAGAACAAAGAAGACUAUCGAUUGAGGUGCAAACAAAGGCUGUUAGUGCCUUGACCAGUCAUCUGGGGCUAACUUCCCCGGUUGACUUGGCCUCGGCUCCAAUCAGAGAUCCUGCCUCGAGUGCGCCCGAAGAAGACCCGCAGCUCAGGGGAAGUGA